rnacentral:lncRNA from 1 species
CCGGCGGCUCCAGGUGCGGGGGCGCCCCUCGCGCUUCACCUGCGCCGCCGCCGCCGGCUCUCAGGGCAAGUUUAUCUCCCCCCUUCUGCGGAAACCCUUGACCGCUUAGCGGAGUACAGACCUGUCGGUAAAUAGAAAACUCGAGCUGGAGAGGAGGAGGAAGCAGCGUGGCGGAACCUGGCCCGAGAUGAGCGUCUCCGUGAGGGCAGUGGUGGCCUCUUGGACAUUACAUCUUUCUUGGCUCUUUUUUACCCAGGUUUCCACAGCUGGAUUGUUUACUAGGGCCAAUUGUCACCAAUGGCAGUAAAACUCAUUUUCUGGGGAGCAGGG